rnacentral:lncRNA from 1 species
CUUUGCUGGGGCUUAUAAUUGCUAGAGUUUUGCUGUUUCCAUGGUUCUUUUGACUGGCAAAAUGCAACGGACUUUUGUAUAUAAAGCUCUUCUCUCAGUUUAAAGCGUGGGUGCUUGCUGGAAUCAAAUGAAAACCAAGAGGUGUCAUCCAUGGCUCAGCUCUUCCUAAAGGAAAGAUGGAAGAAAUAUCUGUGGGCUGGAGGAAGAAGAGGGGAGCUAAGGCCAGCCCUGCUCUGGCCAGGAUGAGAGAGCAAAUAGGACAGCAACUGGGCUGUGAGGGAAAGCCUUUUCCCGGCCUGGCUCGGUCACGGGCACGGAAACCUCCCCCCCGAGCGCCGGUGUGA